GAUGAAGAACGCAGCGAAAUGCGAUACUUGGUGUGAAUUGCAGAAUCCCGUGAACCAUCGAGUCUUUGAACGCAAGUUGCGCCCGAAGCCAUUAGGCCGAGGGCACGCCUACCUGGGCGUCACACGUCGUUGCCCCCCCAUCUAAUCCUUCGGGAUUGCGGGGGGCGGAUGAUGGCCUCCCGUGCGCCUCGUCGCGCGGUUGGCAUAAAUGCCAAGUCCUCGGCGACGCACGCCACGACAAUCGGUGGUUGCGAAACCUCGGUUGCCCGUCGUGUGCGGUCGUCGCGCAUCGAGGGCUCGAAAAAAUUGCCGGGCUUCGGCUCGACUUUCAACGCGACCCCAGGUCAGGCGGGGUUACCCGCUGAAUUUAAGCAUAUCAAUAAGCGGAGGA
rnacentral:misc_RNA from 1 species